UAGGUGAGUUUCUUAGGUACGCUCUUCGUACUGAACGUCUUACACCGACCUGCGCGGAUGCGCAGGUU
rnacentral:sRNA from 1 species